CAGGGAUUAUAAGCUUUUAAACAAUGAGGUGUAUUUGAAAAAUACAUCGGACGCGAUUACUAACCGAUUUCCUGCAGCCGUUCACUUAAAUGACUGUAACUCAGUAACUAUUAGAUGUAGAUAGUAUCAUUUAUUAUGUUUUUGGAUAAUUAUGUACUCAAGUAGAGCAUUAAAAACAAUGGACAUGGUUCUCAACCCAGCGAAAGAUGAUUAACGAGACGGAAGUGCAAAGAAAAUGAAACCACUUCUCACAGAUGUUGGCUGCUCUAGUUCGUGGUUUUCUAAUGUUCGUCCCAAUAAUGGCACAGCUGAAGUGAUGACAACAAGAAAUAGUUCAAAAUUGAUACAUCGUGUUGCCACAACAGCUGAUUCCUCAAGCAGCAGUGACGAGACGGAACAAAAGAGAAGAAAGUUCAAAGGGAAACAUAACAAAGACCAAGGAGAGAUCUCCUUACAAUCUACUGGGCAACGAUUACAUCUUUCUCCACUCAUAUCCACAGCGGAACGUAAUACAACUAUAUCCUCACCAAACACUGUUAGCACACGACGAUGUGAAAAAAUGGAUAAAAAGACCCGUAAAAGGAGUAGGAACCCAGCCUCAUGGAUAGUAAACAGAGCAAAAGAAUCUCAGAGGUUUUGCACACAUUGGUCGAAAACGUGCUGAAAUAAAAGCAAGAGUAAUGAAGCCUGGAUGCGAUCCUAACUUACGCCAACUAAAAUGUCGUAAGUUAACUCAAAAAAUCGGGCAGGAUAUUUUUGAAGUUCUGGCAGAUUGGGGAUCAUAGCAGACAACAAGAGUUCGUCUGUCGACAUGUGAAAUAUGUAGCAGGAAACAGAUUCGAAAUGUGGCAGAAUCAAGAAGAAAAUUUUCAAGACCAUUCUCCAACAGUCGAUGGGAAUAUCAUUAAUGUGUGUCAGAAAAUGUUUCUGCACACUCUCUCUAUUACAGAUAUGUGGGUGAGAACUGCCAUGCAAAAACUGAGAACAGAUGGAAUUCUGUCACCUGAAAUGAGAGGAAAGCAUUCCAGAAGGGGAAAUACAAUAGGGCCUCAAAGGAGUCAGUGCGAGAGCAUAUAAACAGCUUUCCUUUAUCACAUUACACAACAAAAGAAACAAGCAGAAAAUACCUCGAUGCAGAACUGAGCAUUGCAAAAAUGCACAUAAUGUACCAGGAAUGAACCAAGGAAAGAAAAUAUGCCACCAUAUAUCCUCCUACAUUAAGGCAAUAAACUGAUAUAUUCAACCAAGAAUAUAAUUCCUCAUUCUUUCGGCCUAAAAAGUAUAAGUGUGAACUAUGUGAGCUUUACGAUGGUUCCUCUGGAGAGGAGAAAGCAAAGUUGGAAGACAAAUACAUGUCUCACACUGCCAAUAAAACUACUGUCAGGGGUCCGAAAGAAAAAGACAGUGAGUUCAAUCUUGGACAAGUCCAUUAUUAGUGCACGUUUCGAUCUGCAGAAACUGUUGGCUACUUCUCAGUCUGAUGUGAGCCUUUACUACUACAAACGGAAAUAUUCCACCUACAAUUUUAGAGUAUACGACAUUGGAAACAAGGAAGGGCAUUGCUAUGUUUGGCAUGAGGCCAUUGCCUGUCAUGGUCCAAAUGAAAGCUUGCAAAGGUGGAAAAACAUUCAACCUGUACUCUGACAGCUGUGGAGGCCAAAAUAGAAAGAGAUUCCUAUUUUGUAUGUUUGUCAUUGCUUCUGUUAAGUUUGGAAUUUCAAUCACAUCGCUUUCUAGAACGGGUUCACUCCCAGAAUGAAGGUGACUCAAUGCACGCUCUGAUCGAAAGAAGAAUCAGUCAGUGUACAUUCCGGAUCAAUGGGUCACUUUAAUUAGAAUUAGUAACGUCAAUAGAAAGCCAUACACAGUUAAUGAAAUGAGUCAGGACUUAAUUUACGACUUCAAGAAAGUAGUGCAGAAGCAACAGUGGAUGUAUGACACUAAUCAAAAUAAGGUGAUGUGGAGUAAAGUAUGGGA